rnacentral:misc_RNA from 1 species
UACGGAGGGUGCAAGCGUUAAUCGGAUUUACUGGGCGUAAAGCGUGCGUAGGCGGCUUUUUAAGUCGGAUGUGAAAUCACCGAGCUUAACUUGGGAAUUGCAUUCUAUAAUGGGAAGCUAGAGUAUGGGAGAGGAUGGUAGAAUUCCAGGUGUAGCGGUGAAAUGCGUAGAGAUCUGGAGGAAUACCGAUGGCGAAGGCAGCCAUCUGGCCUAAUACUGACGCUUAUGUACGAAAGCAUGGGGAUCAAACAGG